rnacentral:lncRNA from 1 species
UCCUUUCAUCCCCAUUGUUUGUAUUGUACCAACAGUCAAUGGAAUCAUGUCCAAAUUUUAAGCAAUGGUUACAGAAAGUAGGCUUCCAGUCAUACUCAAUGGUUUGUACCUUAGGCCCAUAAGGAGUAUCAAUUUCAAUCUGGUCAGGCAGGGGUUGAGAAGCAUCUACCUCCACUAGUACACGAGCGAAGGAGAUUUUCUCAAAAUGGGCUGUAAACUUUUCAGUGUACAGUGGCUUGCCAACUGCACUAGCAAGUUUACUCAAAACCUCAAUAGACCAAUAUCCCACUGGCAGUCCAGGAAAGUGAAUCCAAAUAGGUAUGG